CAUCGGUCCCCCCGCAGUAGAUAUCUGUAAACCCCGCCAGGCCCGGAAGGGAGCAACGGUAGCAGUGACUUUAUGUGCCGGGGUGUCGCUGGUGAGG
rnacentral:SRP_RNA from 1 species